UACGGGGGGGGGUAAGCGUUGUUCGGAAUUACUGGGCGUAAAGGGCUCGUAGGCGGCCAACUAAGUCAGACGUGAAAUCCCUCAGCUUAACUGGGGAACUGCGUCUGAUACUGGAUGGCUUGGAUUUGGGAGAGGGAUGCGGAAUUCCAGGUGUAGCGGUGAAAUGCGUAGAUAUCUGGAGGAACACCGGUGGCGAAGGCGGCGACCUGGGUGGAAACUGACGCUGAGGCGCGAAAGCGUGGGGAGCAAACAGG
rnacentral:rRNA from 1 species